rnacentral:lncRNA from 1 species
GAUCCUCCCACCAAAUCGACGCUCCAAACGCUCCUAUCCGUCCACACCAUCGCGCUCCAAUCGCGCUGCAUCCGCUUCUCUCCGCCCUGGCUUUCCGGCUUCCGCGCGCCCGCUCGCUUUUCGCCGUCCUUCCUCUCGCCCGCUCGCCCUCGCCGUCCUCCUCGACUAGCUGUUCCUCCCCGCCGUCCCACCGUCCUCCCCCACCGUCCCGCGCUGCCGCCGCCAUCGAUCCUCCCCGCCGCCCACGCCGUCCUCCACCAGAUCGCUCCCCCACUGCCGCCGCCAUCGAUCGCCCCCGCCGUCCUCGUCGCCGCCAUCGCCCCGAUCUCUCCACCGAUUUGCUCCGACCGUGCCGAUCUCCUCCGUGCCACCGUCGGUACUCCCUCACCAAUCUGCUCCGCCCACGCCGAUCUCUCCCAUCCGCGUCGCCAGCGAGGGCCACCCCACCAAUCUCCUCCGUGCCACCUCUGGAACACCCGCGCCCGCGUCGCCGACGACCUAGAAGAAAAAAAAAGUUCAGAUUGUCGAAGCAAAGCUGACUGGACACCAUGCCAAUUGCUAUUGUUUACUGCACAAUCAAGGAGAUUUUUGGCUGAUUCUACUAAAUUUCUGUUUGGUAAAGCAUGCUGUGAGGAUUGUUUAGCUGGCUUACACACAUUAAGACAUGGAUACCAAUAUUGGGGGCUCCACACCAACAUCGUUAACAAGAUCAUUCCAAAUGUACUGGUCAAUUCAUAAUCGAUCAGCAGGCCUGGAAUUUGUCUCAAG